CAUAUAUAAACUUCCAAACCAAUGUCAUUUUUAAGCCUUACUCGACUAUAGAUUUUGUAGUAACGAAAUUCUAUGUGAAUUUUGACACAAGGGCCAAUGCAAUAAAUAGAUUUUAUGAAAUCUACUUAAAA